rnacentral:ncRNA from 1 species
UUCUGUGUUGAAAUUGCAUUAUGUGAUUAAUUGUUAAUUUGCUGAUAAUCACGAAUCAAUAUUGAGUUAGUCAAGAUAUAAUUUCAUAAUUGUUUGGCAAAGCAAGAGAACUAUUUCUUUCAAAGAGUAACAACCAGAAUAAUCAAUUAACGUACUGAUUAUAAUCGAUUAACAUAACUAUCCUUAAUCAAUUAACCAUGUUGAUAAUGGAUUAAUUGCAGCAACUUUGUAUUAUGUGCAAAUAUCAGAAAAACGGGAUUAGUGAUCCACUACACCUAUUCACCCCCUCUAGGUGUAAUCUUACCUCACUAGGACCCAACAGUUUUUAUUAAUCAAGAACAAAAGUUGAGGGCUCGAAGACAAUCAGAUACCGUCCUAGUCGCGACCAUAAACGAUGCCGACCAGGGACCAGCAGAUGUUGCUUUUGGUUCCGGGGGAGUAUGGUCGCAAGGUUGAAACUUAAAGGAAUUGACAGAAGGGCACCACUAGGAGUGGAACUUGCAGCUUAAUUGACUCAACAAGGGGAAACUAACCACAUGCAGACAUAGUAAGGAUUGACCGACUGAGAGCUCUUUCUUGAUUCAAUGGGUGGUGGUGCAUGGCCGUUCUUAGUUGGUGGAGCGAUUUGUCUGGUUAAUUACGUUAACGAAUAAGACCUCAGCCUGCUAACUAGCUAUGUAGAGGUAACCCUCCACGACCAGCUUCUUAGAGGGACUAUGGCCGCUUUGGCCAUGGAUGUUUGAGGCAAUAACAGGUCUAUGAUGUUCUUAGAUCACCUUGUUGCAUGUGUGCUAGACUGUUGUAUUCAACGAGUCUAUAGCCUUGGCCAACAAGCUCGGGUAAUCUUUGAAAUUUCAUCGUGAUGGGGAUAGAUCAUCGCAAUUGUUGGUCUUCAACGAGGAAUUCCUAGUAAGCAUGAGUCGUCAGCUCACAUUGACUUUGUCCUUGCCCUUUAUACACACUGCUUGUCACUCAUACAUAUUGAAUGGUUCGGUGAAGUGUUCGGAUUGCGGCAACGUGGGCGGUUCGCUGCCGGAAACAUUGUGAGAAGUCCAUUGAACCUUAUCAUUUAGUAGAAGGAGAAGUCGUAACAAGGUUUCAGUAGGUGAACCUGCUGAUGGAUCAUUG